AGCGAACGCUGGCGGCAGGCUUUACACAUGCAAGUCGAACGCCCCUUCGGGGGAGUGGCAGACGGGUGAGUAACGCGUGGGAAUUUGCCUUUUGGUGGGGAAUAACGCAGGGAAACUUGCGCUAGUACCGCAUAAGCCCGUGAGGGGAAAGAUUUAUCGCCAAAAGAUAAGCCCGCGUCUGAUUAGCUAGUUGGUGAGGUAAUGGCUCACCAAGGCGACGAUCAGUAGCUGGUCUGAGAGGAUGACCAGCCACACUGGGACUGAGACACGGCCCAGACUCCUACGGGAGGCAGCAGUGGGGAAUAUUGGACAAUGGGCGCAAGCCUGAUCCAGCCAUGCCGCGUGAGUGAUGAAGGCCUUAGGGUUGUAAAGCUCUUUUGUGUGGGAAGAUAAUGACUGUACCACAAGAAUAAGCCCCGGCUAACUUCGUGCCAGCCGCCGCCGUAA
rnacentral:rRNA from 1 species